UUCGGGCGAGUCAGUCUUUGUCGCGAAAUGUCAGUUUCGAAACAUGUGUUUGGCGCAGUCUGUGACAAGUGCAGUGAAUCGUUUUUAAUAUCGCGAGUGUCGAAUGUAGCGGUGGACGAUCGCUCGAGUUUCCCACUGGAUUACGCGGUCGCGGUCGCGAAUAUUUAAAAUCGCAAGUCCACCGUUUCGGGCGAGUCAGUCUUUGUCGCGAAAUGUCAGUUUCCAAGUUAGUACUUUUGUUGUUUGUGAUAAGUGGCGCAAAUAUCUUCUAUCAUCACUGGUGAAUUGGGCUGAGACUGCCGCACAAACAGCCGGCGGGGUCUGGUAUAGGCAACGAUAAACACGGUUAGGCGACAUAACUCGUCCGAUGGAAAAUGGAAAUGGCGAGACAUCGAAUCGAAUGCCCGUCCGCUUGUAAUUUCGGCCUACACCGAGUAAUUAUACUGAAUUUAUCAUGUCUUUUCAAUUGCAAUGACGUCUACCGUGUUUAUCAUAUCAAUAUGUGUCAAUUAGAUCACUUGUCUCUCGAUACAUAGGUCAUGAGAAGCAAGAUAGAGACUGCGGCCAUUACGCGAGUUCUCUCGUUGUGGCGUAAAUGCACUAAGAAGCCGGGCAGAAUGAGCCAAGCCUAAGCUUCAUUAAGAACUUACUCGGCCGUCCAAUGGCCGUGUUUGUUCACUGAAGUUCCGGCGCGAUGUA